CGGUAGGUCGGGAGAGUGUCUUUAUCUCACUGUUUUAGUCGCAGGUAGGUUACCCAGUGCACACUUGUGAGCCCUGACGCGAAAGUCAAACUCCACGACGACGACGAGGAGACCGUCCCCAGAUUGUAUCCGUAGUGGUCCCGUUCGUCCGUCGGUCCGGCGGUGUCAGAAUCGAAUCAGCCUGGGCCCGUGCCAGUACGACCGGACGAUCUAAUCUGCUGCCCGCGGUGGAAGAACCGCAGCACCCAGCGAAGAAGAAAAAAGGCCCCGUCGGGAGUGUUCCGCGAAAAGUCAGCCUUGGUGGAUAAGGUUCAGCUGUUCGUUCGGUAGUCUGCUGCAAAUCGAGAGGUAUACGCGUCACAUAUCAAACAGGGAGUUCUCGGUGCGAAAAUGUCGGUGGGUCAGCCGAAAGGUGAUGCAAAUUCGGUGGCGAACAGCCUACUACUGUCGCAGGCUACUGCUGAUGGGCGCGGAAUGUAAAACUUCAGGUGUUCACGGUUUCGCGGAUUUGCAAGCGUUCGCCAGGCAGUAGUCGAUCGAAAAGUGGAAAAGUUACAUUUGAGUAGUGAAUUGAACGGGGUGGAUCGAGAAAAUUUGCAAGCCCAACAACGGCGGAGCACCAAGGAAGAAAGAAAGCAGAAGGGUGGUGUAUUUUCCCAAUUGCGAAAAUUUUGGAAAAGUGUGAGUUUUCCUUCGUCCGUCGUCGUCGCUGUCGGGGAGCAAGAAGCUGCUCCCAAAGUUCACUAGAGAAUCUUAGGGGUGUUCUGGCGUGUCUGUGUAUGUGAAGCCAAGUGCGUGCGGGAAAAUCUGAGAAGAAAGCAGUGCAAAAGGAAAGAAAACUUGUUAAGUCAAGAGUGGAAAAUUCAUCGGUUGCAGUUGUUGUCGUCGUCGUCAUCGUCGGCGACCAGUCAGCAGUGAGAGCAAGAGCAGGAGAGAACGAAAACCUAAAAGAACUUAAUUGAAAAUUGAUUCAUUAUUGUUGUUAUUGGAGGGUUGGAAUUUAAACCACCCACCGCCGCCUACUGCUUGCUACCCGUUGUUGCAGUGCUGCUGGCCCGGAAGAAGGGAGUUCAUCGCCGCCUGCUUUGUGCCAAAAAAAAAAAGAACUCGCAAGAUUCGGCGCGGCCAGCCAGAAAAUUUCUUUCUCUCCCGAGCGCGCGCGCGUUAUUUAAGCAAUUUCAAGAUCUCACAACAACAACAACAACAACAACAGCCACUACAACCUAGUCGAUAAGCGUAUACCUCUAUCUAGUAAGGCACCACCAGCAGCAACAGCAGUAGAAGCAGCAACACCAUGACGAAGCGGUUCGAGUUCAACUGGCAGAUCCCGGUCCCGGAUGCUCUGCAGGCCGGGUGCGUCUUCGACCGGUGGUUCGAGGACAAGGAUAAUACCGAGUUCGAACCGAGCUGCACAUUCAAAGUGGACGAGUAUGGCUUUUUCGUCUACUGGAAAAGUGAAGGAAAGGAAGGUGAUGUGAUCGAGCUGUGCCAAGUCAGUGACAUCCGAGCUGGAGGAAUGCCAAAGGACCUAAAACUUUUCAACCAGGUGGUCAACAAACACGGAGAGAACGUAGAGGAGAAAUCCCUGACCAUUUGCUCCGGUACGGACUACAUCAACAUCAACAUGCAGCACGUGAUCUGCCCAGAUGCAGCAACGGCCAAGCUGUGGCAACAAGGUCUUCGGCUGGUUACUCACAACAACAAGAUGAACAACGUCUGCCCUCGGACCAACCUCAUGAAGCAUUGGAUGCGAUUGGGAUUCCUGGUGGAUCCGCGUGGAAAAGUUCCCGUCAAAGUCGUUGCCAGAACAUUCGCCUCCGGUAAAACGGAAAAGCUAGUCUAUCAAAUUUUGUCAGAUCUGGGACUGCCUAGCGGCAAGAACGAUGCCAUCGAGAGGGCGGACUUCACAUUCGACAAGUUCUACGAGUUGUACCACAAGAUCUGCCCCAGAAACGACAUCGAGGAGCUGUUCCGAUCGGUCACCCAGGGCAAGAGCAAUACCAUCAACAUGGAUCAGUUCAUCAACUUCCUCAACGAAAAGCAACGUGAUCCUCGGCUGAACGAAAUUCUCUACCCGCUGUACGACGAGAAGCGAGCGCUGGAGAUCAUCAACACCUACGAGCAGGAUGAAGCGGCUCGCGAUGCAAAAACCCUCACCAAAGACGGCCUCAUUCGGUACCUCAUGUCGGAUGAGAACGCACCAGUAUUCCUCGAUCGGUUGGACAUCUACAUGGACAUGGACCAACCGUUGUCUCACUACUACAUCAACUCAUCUCACAAUACGUACCUGUCGGGUCGCCAGUUCGGUGGCAAGAGUUCCGUCGAGAUGUAUCGCCAGACGUUGCUGGCCGGGUGCCGUUGCGUCGAGCUGGACUGCUGGGACGGCAAAGGGGAGGACGAAGAACCGAUCAUCACCCACGGAAUGGCCAUGUGUUCAGAUAUUCUGUUCAAGGACGUAAUAUACGCGCUACGUGAUACGGCGUUCGUCACCUCGGAUUAUCCUGUGAUCUUAUCGUUCGAAAACCAUUGCUGCCGAUCGCAGCAGUACAAACUAGCAAAAUACUGUGAUGAAAUCCUCGGUGAUUUACUGCUGAAGGAGCCACUGCCUGACUAUCCGCUUGAACCCGGAGCUCCACUUCCGCCUCCUUCUGCCUUGAAGCGCAAGAUCAUGAUCAAGAACAAACGGCUGAAACCGGAGGUGGAGAAACGCGAGUUGGAGCUGUUCUUGCAGGGUGAGUUCGUGGCGGAGGAUGACGUCAAGGAGGAUGCCAGCGCCGUGCGUAAACCGGAACCAACGGAAGAGGUCGCAGCUGUUGCUACGGUGGCAGCCUCUCAAGAUGGUGGUGAAGAGGUUCCCGCUGUUCAGUAUACCGGUUCAACGACCAACGUCCAUCCCUGGCUGUCGUCGAUGGUUAACUACGCCCAGCCCAUCAAGUUCCAGUCGUUUGACUAUGCCGAGAACAAGAAUAUCCACCACAACAUGUCCUCGUUUGCCGAAACAACCGGUAUGAAUCUUCUGAAACAGCAGGCCAUCGACUUCGUGAACUACAACAAACGGCAGAUGUCUCGUAUCUACCCCAAGGGCACCCGGGCUGAUUCGUCGAACUACAUGCCCCAGGUGUUCUGGAAUGCCGGCUGUCAGAUGGUGUCCCUCAACUUCCAGACGUCCGAUCUACCGAUGCAGCUGAACCAGGGUAAAUUCGAGUACAACAACAACUGCGGCUAUUUGCUGAAACCGGAUUUCAUGCGGCGAUCCGAUCGAAGUUUCGACCCAUUCGCCGAUGCUCCGGUGGAUGGUGUGAUUGCCGCCUCCUGUGCCGUACAGGUCAUUGCCGGUCAGUUCUUGUCGGACAAGAAAGUGGGAACGUACGUCGAAGUCGAUAUGUACGGUUUACCCUCGGAUACCGUGAGGAAAGAGUUCCGAACCCGUCUGGUUCCGGCGAACGGUCUCAAUCCGGUCUACAACGAAGAAGCAUUCCUCUUCCGUAAGGUGGUGUUGCCUGAUCUGGCCGUUCUGCGAUUCGGCGUGUACGAUGAAAACGGUAAACUGCUUGGACAACGAAUUCUACCGCUGGACGGUCUCCAAGCCGGCUACCGGCACAUUUCCCUACGUACCGACGCCAACUUCCCGAUGUCCCUGCCCAUGUUGUUCUGUAACAUCGAGCUGAAGAUCUACGUCCCGGACGGAUUCGAAGACUUCAUGGACGCCCUCUCCGAUCCGCGUGCAUUCAUGGGAGCGGCCAAGGAACGCUCGGACAACAUGAAGGCCAUGGGAAUCGAAGAAUCGAGCUCGGGAGCCGCCGCGGACACCGCCAAGCAGGCGAAGAAGGACGAAUACAUGGAACCGCCGAUCGUGUUCGAUCCCAUUACGGUGGAAUCGUUACGGCAGGAGAAGGGCUUCCAGAAGACGGCCAAGAAGCAACAGAAGGAACUGGACAGCGUAAAGAAGAAGCACGCCAAAGAGCGAACGGGAAUCCAAAAGCAGCAGAAUACUGCCAUCGAAAGACUGAUCAAGGGAAAGAGCAAGGAGGAAAUCAAGGCGGACUCAGCGAUCCGGAAGGUGAUCCAGGAGCAAAACGCCCAGUGGAGCGAGAUGAUCGAGCGCCACAAGAAGGAAGAGUGGGAUCUGCUCAAGCAGCAGCUGGACGAUCAGCGGGACAUUCUGCGGAAGCUGAUGGAGUCGACCCAGGCAGCGCAGAUGAAGCAACUGGAGGCCAAGCACGAGCGCGAAAUCAAGAUGCUGAACAGCCUGCAGGCCAAGAUCAGCGUGGAAACUUCCAAAGAGGUGGCCAACGACAAGACACUGAAAACCAAGGGCGAGAAGGAUCGUCGGUUGCGCGAGAAGAAACAGAACAACAUCAAGCGGUUCAUGGAUGAGAAGAAGACGGCCACCAUCAAGCAGAACCGCGAGAAGGAGAAACUGAAGGUGACCCACGACAAGCAACUGGAGGAGCUGGACAAUGACGUUCAGAAGGUACAGAACGCCUACCGGGAGAUUGUGACGUUAGAGACGGUGGUGUAGCUAUAGCCAGCGGAUGCCACCGAACCUCUUUCUCUAUCUUCUUCGAUCUCUUUGUCCCACCCGAAAACAAAAAAAAAUAGAAAAGAAAACCUGAUGCGUGGGGCGGAACAUGUGUUCCAGCUGUGUUUCGCGCCACCAAUUGCCAAGCUGAUCUGUGUUAUCAUCGUGUAGUAGUUUUGUUUUUUUUUUGUUCUAGAUUAAUUGAUUUAGUUUUUUCUCAAGUUAAGUUUUGUUUAUCAGUAGUUAUGCGCACAAUGCAGCCAAAGCCAGUUAUUUAUUUUUUCUCAUUGUAGUAAUGUGUCAAUCCAUUUUUGAGAUAGAUUUUGUAUUUGAUGUAGAUAAUUUAAACUUGUACCUUACUUCGCCUUAUAAGUUCAACUGCUGUUACUGUUAGAGUGUUUGUUUAACCGAGCUGGAACGCCUGAUUUUCGCACACAACCAACUGAUCGACAUGUACAAGGUCGACGAGGAAGAGUACAAGAUGGCCAGCAAGAUGGAGUUCUACGCCUGAAUGUUGGAAAACGGUUCGCCUCCCCCGGACGAAUCCACGAAAUAGCCCUAGCAAAACCAGAAGAACUGAACUUUUUUUUUCUUUUGUUAUCAAAUGCCGUAAAAAUCAGGAGGACAGGCCUGUCGAAUGUGUAUGGCAGUAAACAAGUAACAGCAAGAAGGAAACAUCAAGAAUCAUCACCAUCACAAGGGUGGAUCAAACAGGAAUGAAUCAGAAAACAAACAAACAGAUGUAUUAAGAAUACGAAAAACCCCAUAUUUUAGAAGAUAGACUAAAGUAAAUAAGCAGCUCUACUAUCAAAACUGUAAGAAAUGUAUCAUUUUGAGCGAAACAGAAACUAGGUGAACCAAAAAAAAAAACAUGAAGAAACAAAAGAAAUAAGAUACUAUUACUAACUAGUAUUAGCAAAAGUGCAAACGGAACCUAUCAAUGAGUAGCAUCACGUUAGGAGAAAAACAAAUGAAAAGAAAAAUCAAAGUGAGAUUAGUUGUUUCGUUAUUGAUCGUUGUUUAUGUGACGGGAUAAGGGACAGGACAAGGCAUGCGUCGCGAAAGGGGCCCGUCAGCAGCCACAGUGUGGAAGAACAAUAGGCUAUUGGUGAGAGGCUCAGUGGUUAGGACUUGCGAUGGAAGCAACCAAUCCACAACACACACAAGCACAUCACCUAUCGAACUACAUACAACAAUGAGCGGGAUCAAAUGAAUUUUACUUCUUAUCAACAGGUGAACGGAUGUAGGAAUCAAACACAAUCGUACAUAUGUACACGCAGAACAUUCAUUCACCACAGACACACACUCUAAACAAGUAGACAAAUGAGAUUGUUCACCAACUUUAUAGUAGGGAAUGCACCUAAGUUUGAUAAUUACAAAAUGGCUAUUAAUAUCGAACUGGAAAAGUUUAAUUUUGACUUGUAUUGUUCGUUGAAAAAGUUGAGUUUAAACAUUAUUUUGGUAGCAAAAUUGAGUUGUAGUGAUGCAUAUUCAGUUUCAUUAAAAUCUAAUUGAUGUUAACAGUUACUAUUUAUAACGGCGAUGGGAGACCCGAAUGAUGCCUUUCACAAAUGCGUGAAGUCGGGAAGGUAAUGAGGCAAGCGGAUAAACAGUGGAUAGUUCAUUCACUGGAAUCAAUUGACUUUCAAAAUAUCAGAGGUCGUGUACCAUGGAUAAUUGUAAUGAAACCUAAAGUUUGCAAUGACCUUUUUGUUAUCCAAGAUUAUGCGAGGUAUACACUUCAAACGGAAUCGCUUAAGUAAUUUUCGUUCAGUGCAUUAUUUUUCCGUGACCGGAAUGGUUAAGAAAUUUAACACAGCAAGCCCCAUUUGAUUUGACGUUUCGUUUGAGCUCCGUACUAGGAUCCGGAAUAAAGCGACGCUUUCUCAUUUCUUGAGCGAUUCCUUGCCUGAAUUUUCCACGGAUCGAGAUAGGCCAAGAAAUUUCUUGCGAUCUGCAUACUACCCAUUAUUUGAGUACGUUACGGGACUCUUCCUUGGAUUUAUUUUCAAAAUUCUUUUGCAGUUUCUCACAGAAAUCUUACCGCGAAUUCUUCUUUUAAUUCAUCAUUUUUUCUGAAGGUUUGCCGGAGUUUAUUUUCCUAUGUUUCUCUAGGAAGUUCUCUCAAGAUUCCAUCCACAGGUUUUUCUACGUAUUAGCUCCAAGAGUUUCUUCCGAGAUUUUUUCGGUGUUUCCUACGGGAUUUCCGAGAGUUGUUUUUCGGAUUUCUACCAGAGUUCCUCCGAGGACUGCUGCAGGAAUUUCUUUUUUCGAGGUCUGCAGGAGUACCUUCCAGGAUUUCUUCCAGACUUAUUUAUAUGCUUCCAGAGUUUCUCGGUAGAAUUCUUUUGGAAAUCUCUCCAAAAUGAGCAUGAGCACUGAUGACAAUUUUUAUAAUUUACAGCUGCUACCAAGGAUCAGUAUAUUCGCCUCUUUUACAUUUCUCGAUAGCCUUUGAGGUGCGUCCUUUUUUUCCAUUUCUCGACGGCCUUCCAGACGCGUUCCUCUUUUGCAUUUCUCGACGGCCUUCGAGGCUCAUCCCUCUUUUCCUUUCCACGACGGGCUUCGAGGCAAGUCUUUCUUUUCCAUUUCUCGUCGACCUUCGAGGCGCGAAGUAGUACGCAGAAUAGGGCAACAGAUUUACUAUACAGUGCACAACUUCCGACGUUAUGUUUAACGCAUAGAAAAAGCAGCGGAAGUCAAUGAAGUUAUAUCCGACACCAAUUUAGUGCUAAAUCCACAAUAGUUUGAACACUACCAGUCGAUCUUGCAUCACGAUGUGCUCUGCGGCCUACUCUCGGAUGAUCCGCUCGAGCCACAGCAAGUGCUCUUCCAUCGGUUCCGCUUUGCUGUACUUCAUCACGGCCAGUUGCUUCAGUAGAUAAAACUGACCGGAAAUUCCCUUCUUCAAAAACGUUGUCCAGAUCGCCUUCGAAGUGGUCUUGCCCUUGGGCUUGCCUUUGAUGUACUCCAGCUGCGAAUCCACGAUCUUCUCCAUCAGCAACGAUUUGCAAUUCGCUUUGUGAGCUUUCUUCUGCGCCGUUUCGUCUUCCUGGAAUUCCGGGAUUUCGUCCACAUCCCACCGAAUGCAAUCGAUUAGCAUCUCCAGUAGCGUCUUCAUCCGAAAGCUCCAAUUCGGGAAGUUCUUGCCGUCGAAAAGAUAUGCCUUCGUUUCCUCUUGCAUUUUUUUCGGUGAAAAAAUCUUCUUUCUUCCAAACAACUUCCAUUUCCAAUGCCAACAGAUAUACUGGGCAAAUUACCUGUCGUGAAUAGCAGAGUAAAAGUAAAGGAAAAGACGACGGUGCCUCUGGUGACGGUUUAGUAUAGAAUGGUUCUAUGCAACAUAAAUGACUACUAUGAUCGAUCUAAUACUAUCUGAGCUACUGCGAUAGGUUUGUCGUCCUUGACAACAAAUGCAUUCAAAUUGCUACUUACCAAUAUUUGUUUCAGGAUUUUAGCUUAUUGUUUCACUUGCCUCAUAACUUUCACGUACUUCACGGUAGCUUUAUGUUCUAGUUGUUAAAUUGUUGUAUUUUUGCACUCAAAGCUCUACUUUGGAAAUACUUUUUUUAUAUUUCUAUUCAAAAGUCAAUUAUAAAACGACCAAACGUCAACUAUAAGUUACUAUUUAUGUAUUAUAUGGUGGUAUUGGAAUAAAAAUCAAAUUCAAAACAUGACAUCGAUCGGAAAAGUAGCGGCUCUUCUAACACAUUUCUUGAAUAAAGCAAUCAAAACUGUUUUAAAUUCAACACACAAUCAAGUAUUUUAUUGCCCCAUUUAACAACGGAGUGAACUGGACGGAUAGAAAACAAAUAAAAAGUGAAAACAUGAUAACCCCAAAAUAUAUAAGAAUAUAAAUAAUGCAGAAGUGUACAUCAUAGUCAUUUUUAAAAUUACUGAAUGAAAAAAUAGAUAUAAAGAAAACAAAGUUAUAAAACAACCAAAUUUUAAACAAGUUGCAAACCGCAAAACAUCAACCUAAUAUAUAGAUUUUAGAGCAAUUAAGUAAAGGAAAAAAAAACAAUGAGAUGAGUAUUGCAAUCGUCACCUCUCUACCCAGCGUCCCUCCCGAGAGCGUUAGUUCCUUUCCAUCUCUAGUGAAGAAAAGUCUGUCCCAUUAAUCCCACAUUGUCGCCAUUCCUCAUCAAAUAGGAACAUGUAUAUUCAAGUUGCUGACGUUCUACUAGGAAGUAAACCAGGAAAAGAUAUAGAAAUCCUAAAUAUAUGCAAAAACAAGAACUACAAGAAUCAUGAGUGCCUAUAAUACAAAAAAUCAUCCCUUUAUACUUUUUUAUCGUAUAAUCAACCCGAGAGACGACUGUCUCUCUUUCUCUCACAUACACACUACACACCGUUUCUCAUCUCAUGUGUACUUUAAGACACAUCCCAUCUCAUUGGAUUAGGAUUUAAAAACCACAAAUACAAAGACAUUCAACGAACUUAUUACUCCUGAAGAAACAACAUGAACACACUCACCCGCAAACACACACACACUAGACAUACACUGCACACCACUAUCUACUGUUAUGUAGAAUCGCAUAUUUCUUUCAGAAACAGGAAAAAACACGUUUUCUAGUCGUUACAUGUUAAGAGAAAGCUCCCUAAUAGAAGCUUGGUUGAAAAAAAAAACCGAUUCUAGAGCUCCUAGAAGAAUAUCAAGAAAACAAGAAAAAACACCUCGUGUAAAAGGAAACUCUCGUAAACUAAAAAAGUAUUAUAAUUUUCGUUAGGAUUACAUUACCCAGCUAAGAAGAGAGAUAACUACCUACAUAUAAAGUGCGGAGAGAAGGCAUGCAAGGAUAGACUAGGCGGACAACAUUGUUGUGUUUGAAAAACAUUUCCAAAAAAAAUAACAAUCAAUCCGCGCGUGUGUGCGUGCAAGCGAGGAGAAGCAGGCAUUUAGUUAAGCAACAAAGGAACGAAGCGAAACCGUCGUCAGUGAGUGAAGAGCAUCAUAUGUAUGUAAAAAAAAAGAAGUAAAAAGAAACCAAGAGGAAAUUUAGACAAACAACCAAAGCAAACCAGAAAAUAUAAGGUAUAAUAAAGAGCAUCCAUUAGAAAAAUUA